GGAGAUUGGGACCAACCUGGCAAACAGGGUGAAACCCUGUCUCUACUAAAAAUACAAAAUACAAAAAAAAUCAGCCUGGCAUGGUGGCGGGCGCCUGUGGUCCCAGCUACUCUGGAGGCUGACGCAGGAGAAUGCCGUGAACCCGGGAGGCGGAGCUUGCAGAGAGCCGGAGAUCACGCCACUGCACUCCAGCCUGGGCUACAGAGCAAGACUCCGUCUCAAAAAAAACCAAAACAAAACAAAACAAAAAAAACACCCAGUUUUUCCAUGGAGUGAUAGAAUUUAAUUGAUGAGCUUGACGAGCUUAAUUACAGAAGGGAGAGCUCCAAAAUACAUAUAAAAGUAAAGCAAAUGAAAUAUUAUGAAGUAUCAAGGUGACACUGUAGAAGCUUAAUGAUUACUUCAGAAGGAUGUUCACCAUAAAGAUUAAGAAAAUUGAUUUUGUAAAAUGUGAUACUAUUUUUAUAAAAACUACAAAUCUGUCAUCACUAAGCAAGUUCUUCCCACUCAUGGAUUCUAGAGGAGUUCACCCAUGUCCAGAGAAAGUUUGCAAUUAAGGUCAUUCCUCGCUCAUUGGGAACACUGAGUCAAAGAAAAUAAGUUUGCAAGAAGACAAGGAAUGACCUGUAGGCAUACUAAGCCUGCAUUUGAGACUGACAAGGAGUGAGAGAUACUGUUUUGAGUGUGUGUGAAAAUGAAGAGAAUGAAUCAUCUUUUACUGAUUAUAAUCUAUAACUUGAGUUUGCAAGUCAAAGAACUUCUGAAACAGGGUUUCAGUUACUGCUCCUAGCAGGAUUCUCCAUUGCUACUCAUCAUAUUUUGUUAAGACAAACAGGGCUAUCAUGAAGCAGCAGACACCCCUGUCAUAUCAUGCGUGGAGGAGGAUCCAGCAUUUGUGAAAAUCACAGAAGAUCAUAUGAGAAGGCACCAUUUUAAUGAAAGAACAAGAAACCUGAAAUUCAAUAACAAAGCCUGAAGGCUAGAAAAGGUUAUGAAAUAGCCCAUGAUAAGCACAGGUGGAAAAUUGACACAAAGAGUUUUCUGCUAUGCCAAAUAAAUUUUGUUGUCUUUGUGUGUGUGUAUGCUGCGUAUCUUAAAACCAUAACAUUUUCACUGACAUUGAAUCAUCCUCCUCAGUAACUGAGGGAAACUUCCUUGGGAACCCACCUUAAAUUUUACCAUCUUUGGCAGCUUUUGAAAUGACUCUAUCUUCAAAUUCUUGAAUUUCCACAUUCUCUUCUCUGACUUUACCUUUGAUUAUUUUGCUCUCAGUAAAUCUGCAUCUCAGUCUUCCUCUUCUCAGUUCUAUCCUAGUGUACCAGCCCAUUAACCCCUGUUUGAUUUUAUUUGGCUCUCUUCCUCCAUGGGGCUACACGUAAGCCUCAUGCUCAUUGUAGUCCCUGUCUCUCUUCAACACUGGUAUCUUACCACCUCUCCAUAACUUCCCACUAUUUCUUUCUUGCCAAUCAUCAACCCUGUGUAAUAUCUACUGUCUUAUUUUCUUUGACGCUAGAAAUCAAGGCCCUGAUGGUCAAAGGCAUUAAACAAUCUAUGGGUUUGCCAUAAGUGCAUUAUGUGGUUUAUUAUUUUGCAGAUAUUUAAUGUGGUACAUGAUAAAAUGUUACUUUUUCUACUAAUCUUAUUUAUGUAGCCGAAAAUCUAGAAAAAUGUUUUUCUU
rnacentral:lncRNA from 10 species